UUUGUGAACUUUUGUUAAUUUCCAAUGCUGAAAAAUGACUUUUGAGUUUUGAUUUGUCUACCGUGUCAUUAUUCAUCUACACUUGUAUCAAAAACAUUUUAAUUGUCAUUACAUAAUACAUAACAACAUAUUAAAAACGAUUUUGUAAUCACUGUAGUUUCAGUUAAAUAAAGAGGAACUCAAAAACUAAAUAAACCUUCUAUAGUUGAUGCAAAGAAAAAUCCAUCCAUUCAAAAGUCCUCCCUGCAUUGCUGUCCCAAGCUAAGAUUUUGACAAAGAACCUGAAGCAAAAUUAAGCAAACCUUAAUCGUUAACAGUAUAAACUUAUCAUCUUCCUUUAAUAUUGUGUUAACAUUACUCAAAUCAAAUACUACUAUGAAGAAGACUCGGUGAAUGUCUCAUUAAAUAAAUAGUGCAAAUGCAUUUCACAGAAAUCAUAAUCACAGAUCCAUUUGUGUAAAUACAUUUGGCAACUUGCUUGUGAAAACAUUCGAAUUGAAAAUGUCAUAACAACCAAAAAGCAGAGAACAUAAUUUAUACUUAAUUCUCUUAUGUAGAAACUUCACAAAUCAUUAUUCAUAAUAAAAGGAACUUUAAUUGCUCAAAAUAUAAAAAAUAUGAAGUACACUGCAAAGUAACUUUGAGUUGUAGGAGGUAAGGAGAAACUACUUCUUCCCCUAAUAUAUUAUAACGUAGGUAUUUUAAGAAGUCGUCAAACCCUUGAAAUAUCUUUCAAGGAAUCUUCCUACUAACUGGAAAUUUGGAGUUGAUUUCCUCCUUUAUGGUGUCUUACAUUUUGAUCGUGUUACAAUUUUUAUCCUCAUUUUGUCAUAUUUAAUUAGUAAAUGCUUUCGUAUAAUCGGUAUGUCACUUUACCUACAAUCUUUAUUUCGGCAAUACACCAUCUACAAUGAAUUUCUUUGUUAGUUCUUUUCAUUUAUCAUGAGAUCAAAUAUUAGUACUUGAAGAGAUGGUCACAAUUGAAAGAACUUCUUUUAGGAAUAAAAUGCAUUAAAAUCUCUAUUUCGUUUUCUUAUUUAUCAAAUCGAAUAGCUUACAACUGUUGGAACUUAGGGAAUAUUUUAAAGACAUAUGAAAUAGCCUAGAAGAAACGAAAAAUAACACUACCGUAGGGGUUAAUGUUCAAUGGUUUUAUGUUCUAACAAAUACUUUAACAUCUAAUGAGUUUUCAUUAAAUAUAGAGGCAACUUAUGAAGAGAUGCGGCAAAACAUCAUCAAAACUAAAUCAUUCUUUAGCCACUACAUAACACCUUCAUAUUUAUAGAGAACAUAAAAUAAAAUCAUAUAGAUGAUUCCUUGUGCAUGCUAGAAACAACUUACCAUUAAACUCUUUGUAAAGCUUGUCCUGUUAGUACCCUUUAGCCAAGAUCAUUUUUCCAUAUUCUUCUUCAUUUCUUUUUUUUUUCUCGGACACUGAAUCUAUUUAGUGAUAGCAAGCACAAUAUGAUUUUUUUAAUUGUAUAAAUAACUAAAUUCAACAUAAGGGAACCAAUAUGGAAGAACUUAAAAGUAAUAUAAAAUUGAAAUUUUUCUGCUCGAGUUUCAACAAUGCAAAAGGAAUUUUAACUUUUUAACUGGACUUCUUCAAACACCUGAUGGUGUUAGAUAUGUAAACAUAAGAUAAAUGUAAAGAAUCAUAACCAUAAUACAAAACCU
rnacentral:lncRNA from 1 species